AUUGAACGCUGGCGGCAUGCCUUACACAUGCAAGUCGAACGGUAACAGGUCUUCGGAUGCUGACGAGUGGCGAACGGGUGAGUAAUACAUCGGAACGUGCCCGAUCGUGGGGGAUAACGGAGCGAAAGCUUUGCUAAUACCGCAUACGAUCUACGGAUGAAAGCAGGGGACCGCAAGGCCUUGCGCGGACGGAGCGGCCGAUGGCAGAUUAGGUAGUUGGUGGGAUAAAAGCUUACCAAGCCGACGAUCUGUAGCUGGUCUGAGAGGACGACCAGCCACACUGGGACUGAGACACGGCCCAGACUCCUACGGGAGGCAGCAGUGGGGAAUUUGGACAAUGGGCGCAAGCCUGAUCCAGCCAUGCCGCGUGCAGGAUGAAGGCCUUCGGGUUGUAAACUGCUUUUGUACGGAACGAAAAGACUCUUUACUAAUAAAGAGGUCCAUGACGGUAACCGUAAGAAUAAGCACCGGCUAACUACGUGCCAGCAGCCGACGGUAAAACG
rnacentral:rRNA from 1 species